UGACAGUUUUAUUAUUUCUAAGAAAUUCGAAAUAAAAAAUACAAUAUAAACAUUUUCUUUUCUGAACACCAUCUUCAGUGACAUUAUUGGCCCGCGGGGAGGAUUUGAGGACUGGCACUGGCCCUACGGUAAAUUGAGUUUGAGACCCCUUCUUUAGAUCUUGUUUCUAUCUGGCUGAGGCUCAUUCUCAGGCUUAUCUCAAUGGCUUUUCAAAUGACCUGUAUGCUAGUGUUAACGCUUCCAUGUCUGGUUCUUCCCAGAUGACCCCAGACACCCUGGUUUACAGAACAAGCCUGAAGUAUAACCCCACCCCUGCCAGCAACCCAGUGAUCCUGAGAACCAAUCCAGCUGUGAUUCCCAUUGAGUGUCACUACUCCCAUUGAAUGUCUGAGAUGCUCAGAUCCCUCCCUCCCAUUCAGUCCCUGUUGUGGGAUCUAGCUCAGUGUCAGGUUUGCUCCUCUCCCAGGAAGGACAAUGUGAGCAGUAAAGCCAUCAAGCUGAUGUGGGUUCCCUUCAGCUCCACCCUGUCUGCUGAGGAGAGGCUGGAUUUCUCCCUGCACCUGAUGAAUGGUAGGUGGGAGGAGCCUUCAGGGGAGUCCAGCACUGCCUGCCUGUCUGUCCUGCUCACUGUGAACUUGCCUUGCAGAUGACUGGAGUGCUGAGAGACACUCCAAUGGAUUCCAGCUAGGGGAGGUCAUGCAUAUCCAAGCUGAUGUCAGCACUGGGAACCAUGUGGCUCUUUGGCUCUUUGUGGACAGCUGUGUGGCCACCCUGACCCCAGACAGGGACUCCUCUCCUCGCUAUGCUGUCAUUGACUUCAGUGGGUGCCUGGUGGAUGGGAGAUCAGAUGACAUCCCCUCAGCCUUCAUAUCCCCCAGGCAGGACACACUACAGUUCAUGGUGGAUGUGUUCAGGUUUGCAGGAGAUGGUGAGCUCCCAGAUUUCUGCUCCAGUCAGAUCUCCAGGCUAAGCAGGUGUUAGUGUCCCCUGGGAUGGUCCUAACCCCUCUUCCCACUUCACCUCAGAUCUAGAUCACCUGCCAUCUGAAAGUCACUGCAGCUGAGCAAGCCCCAGAUUCCUGGAACAAGGCUUAUCCCUUCAACAAAGCAGGUGAGUCCUCAGUGAGGGUAGCAGAGGCUCAUGGUGUGGUAGGACCCCUAUUAAUCCUAGAUGCCUAGCAAGGGUCCAAGGAUCUCCUAGAAGACCAACAUGAAGCAAUGCAGGCAGCAUCACAUGGUACCUAGUGACUGACCUGCAUGCACCUUGGAGAGAUUUCUGCAUUGUGUUAUGAAUCUAUUUCUCUAUUGGUGGAGGACUGGGAGCUUCCACCCACCUGGGAAAAAUCCUGAAGUCUCAUCCUGGGGCAGGGUGGGGGGAAUUAUUCAUAACAGUGAGGAUUGAAGAGGGAAGUAGCAAAAAUCUACACCCUAUCCUGAAGGAUGAUCCCUCACUCUCACAGAUCUUGGGAGACAGGCCAGUCCUUGCUUACAGAAGGACUGUAAACCCCCCUGCCUGAAGCAAAUACUCACCAGCAACCACACACCACACAACAAAAACACUAACCCAGGAACCUAUCCUUGCAACAAAGCCCGUUGCCAACUCUGUCCACAUAUCUAUUCAAGGGACACUAUCAUAGGACCUAAUCACAUUAGCCACACCAUCAGAGGCUCGUUCACCUGCACAUCUACCAAUGUGAUAUAUGCCAUCAUGUGCCAGCAAUGCCCCUCUGCCAUGUACAUUGGACAAACUGGACAGUCUCUACGCAAAAGAAUAAAUGGACACAAAUCAGACGUCAAGAAUGAUAACAUUCAAAAACCAUUCGGAGAACACUUCAACCUCCCUGGGCACUCAAUUACAGACCUAAAAGUCGCAAUACUCCAACAAAAAAACUUCAAAAACAGACUCCAAUGAGAAACUGCAGAGUUGGAAUUUAUUUGCAAACUGGACACCAUUAAAUUAGGCUUGAAUAAAGACUGGGAGUGGAUGGGUCAUUACACAAAGUAAAAACUAUUUCCCCAUGCUAAUUUUUCCUCUACUGUUACUCACACCUUCUUGUCAACUGUUGGAAAUGGGCCAUCCUGAUUAUCACUACAAAAGUUUUUUUUCUCCUGCUGAUAAUAGCCCACCUUAAUUGAUUAGUCUCAUUAUAGUUGGUAUGGCAACACCCAUUUUUUCCAUGUUCUCUGUGUAUAUAUAUCUUCCUACUGUAUUUUCCACUGCAUGCAUCUGAUGAAGUGGGUUUUAGCCCACGAAAACUUAUGCCCAAAUAAAUUUGUUAGUCUUUAAGGUGCCACAAGUACUCCUCGUUCUUUUUGCUGAAACGGAUUAACACGGCUACCACUCUGAAA